GCCUUUUCUAUUUGGUAUGGAAGGGAAGUCCUGAGUACCUCUUGUGGAGCAGAAGCCACCCAACCUGGAUGGACUUGCACCACAGAGACAGCUGGGUCCACUGGUAAAGUCUUCCCGGAGGCCAGCGGAAGACUGCAUUGUGGGUAAUCCUGGCUGCCCCGAACCUUCACCUCCUUGCCUUGAUUAAACCACCUGCUUAAAGCCCUGGCUACAUCGGAGGCUCUGAGACCUCUGAAGAAGUCUGAAUCAGGGCAUGAGUUGGAGGAGCGAGCGGCCAUCCCCUCCGCGACUUCCCUCCAUCUUGUUUCCUACUGGAAUUAAAGGAGUUAAUUUACGAA